AGUGAACGCUGGCGGCAUGCCUAAUACAUGCAAGUCGAGCGGCCGCGCGGGGGGAAUCCUCCCCGCGCGCUGCCGACGGGCGGGUAAUUCGCCCGAAGCUGCCUUCCUGUAGGGCAUAACGUAGGUAAACUAACGCUAAUACCGCCUACGUCCUAUGUUGAAACGUGUGGGUCCGCAAUGCAUGACGCAGUAGCAUUAACCUACGCCCGAUUAGCUAGUUGGUAGGGUAAAGGCCCACCAAGGCGACGAUCGGUAGCUGGUCUGAGAGGAUGAUCAGCCACACUGGGACUGAGACACGGCCCAGACUCCUACGGGAGGCAGCAGUGGGGAAUAUUGGACAAUGGGCGAAAGCCUGAUCCAGCCAUGCCGCGUGUGUGAAGAAGGUCUUCGGGUUGUAAAGCACUUUUGUCAGGAAAGAAAUCACUGGAGCUAAUCCCUUCGGGGGAUGACGGUACCGGAAGAAUAAGCACCGGCUAACUUCGUG
rnacentral:rRNA from 1 species